UGCGCUAUGGGUGCAGCCAUUACAAAAGAAAGAAAGAAAGGUAAUAGGAAUAUAUACCUAUUCUUUAAAAUAAAAUAAAACCUAUUCUUAGGUUUCCUUUAGGUUUAACCAUUUGCAGUGCCAUUGGACUGAGCAGACAAGUGUAUAAUUAAAGAACAACCAGAAUGCAACUUAUUUAGUGUUCAACCCGGAAUCCAAGCCACUUCUGCAACUUAAACCACAGCUCAUGGCAACUCCAGAUUCUUAAUCCACUGAGUGAGGCCAGGGAUCAAAGCAUCCUCAUGGAUACUGGUUGGGUUCGUAACUGCUGAGCCAUGACAGGAACUCUCAGAGUAAGAGUAAAGUGGUCUUAAAUAUUGAGUCACUGAGAUAAAGACCUGAACUGUGCAAAACUUCAGGUCAUUUCUCUGAGUAAAGAGGUACCCAGCAAUAUAAGAUGAUUAGUCAAACAACAGUGCUUAGAAUGAUAUUUUUAUGUAUAAUCUGAAAAAGCUGUAGACAACAAAACAUCCCAAUUUAUGACACUAAACUUCCCUAGAUCCUGAAAUUUGGAAAAACUCUACAAGAAUAUUCCAGGAAGACACACAAGUGGGCGGGAAAAUGACAGACACACUGUACAUGGGAGGAAAAUCCAAACGUGUACAAAGGAACCUCGAGGAAAAGUAUUAAAAGCAAAUUGAAAUACAUUCUUUGAGCUAAAGUUCUGGCCUCUGCUACUCAAGAAAAAGAAGUGUUUCAAAUCCAUGCUGAAAUGAUGGACCAAAGGCCACCUGGAGCCAUGGUACUGAUUUUUGACCAGCAUGGGAAUGGAAUAUGCUACCUAAUGGUCUAUAAUGUAACCUGAUCUUUGAAGUCCAAAGCUCCCCCAAGUAUUUUUCUCAGGAGAUGGGAUUAAGAUGGUGGAAUAGAAGAACUGGAGCUCAACUUCUC